rnacentral:rRNA from 1 species
UACGUAGGGUGCAAGCGUUGUCCGGAAUUAUUGGGCGUAAAGAGCUCGUAGGCGGUUUGUCGCGUCUGCUGUAAAAUCCCAGGGCUUAACCCUGGGCCUGCAGUGGGUACGGGCAAACUAGAGUGCGGUAGGGGAGAUCGGAAUUCCUGAUGUAGCGGUGAAAUGCGCAGAUAUCAGGAGGAACACCGGUGGCGAAGGCGGAUCUCUGGGCCGUAACUGACGCUGAGGAGCGAAAGCAUGGGUAGCGAACAGG